rnacentral:rRNA from 1 species
UACGUAGGGGGCUAGCGUUGUCCGGAAUCAUUGGGCGUAAAGCGCGUGUAGGCGGCCCGAUAAGUCCGCUGUGAAAGUCCAGGGCUCAACCCUGGGAUGCCGGUGGAUACUGUCGGGCUCGAGUCCGGAAGAGGCGAGUGGAAUUCCUGGUGUAGCGGUGAAAUGCCCAGAUAUCAGGAGGAACACCAAUAGCGAAGGCAGCUCGCUGGGACGUUACUGACACUAAGGCGCGAAAGCGUGGGGAGCGAACAGG